AUAGAGAAAUAGCUGAAUCAUACUGUUUAAGAAAGGCUAAGUCACUCUUUGUCAUAAUUGCAAAAACUAAAGUAUGGCACAAUUAAAGCAAGUGUUAGAUUUUGUAGCUCAUUGUUCUUUAGUGAUCACCGGUUUUCUAGGAAUAUAUAGAAUGGAUCUAAUAAUGUAAGAUAAGUUACUUCGAUACUAAAACAGAGAAAUUUCAAAUUCUAAUCUAAAGAAAUACCUAAGAUGGAUCCGAAAAUUGCAUAAAGUCCAUUUUUCAUCAACAUCAUCAGAGACUAUAUAACAUAUGUACUUAACACAAAAUAUUCAAAGAUCACAUAAUUAAUCUUUAAUCUAUUAUGAGUCCAAUAUCUCAAACCACUGGCAAAUUGGUUGAGUGA
rnacentral:sRNA from 1 species